rnacentral:rRNA from 1 species
UACGUAGGGUGCGAGCGUUGUCCGGAAUUAUUGGGCGUAAAGGGCUCGUAGGCGGUUUGUCGCGUCGGGAGUGAAAACUCAGGGCUUAACCCUGAGCCUGCUUCCGAUACGGGCAGACUAGAGGUAUGCAGGGGAGAACGGAAUUCCUGGUGUAGCGGUGAAAUGCGCAGAUAUCAGGAGGAACACCGGUGGCGAAGGCGGCUCGCUGGGACGGUACUGACGCUGAGGAGCGAAAGCGUGGGGAGCAAACAGG